UUACGUGGAGUGAUGCUGCUCAGCCUUGUGAGAGAUGUGGCCGAUUUAACAGGGAGCAAAAGCAGCCCAGCCCACCGACCCGAUCCGGAAAUGCCAUCCUGGAGGUUUCAAAAAAACGUUGCGACACAGAAUGUGGCUGCAAACAACCACAUCCUGACAACGUUUGCCACUGAUCCCGGUAAUUAUUUACGGGUUCACCUUGGAGUCGCUACUGGCUAAUGGAUUCGGUUUCACGGCAAGGUUUCCCCUGUGUUCCAAGAACUGGAUGGAUGGAUUGAUGGAGUGCAAUCCAUGAAGCAGGUGAGAACAAGCUGGCCGUGAAGGGCAGCCACCUGUCGCAUAGCAGGAGUUGGGGGUUAAGGGUUUUGCUCAAGGACCAAAGACAUGCCAAAGCUGGGUGUGAACUGAGGACCUUCUGACCACAGGGCAUCCAGGCUUAGCCCACUGCUGCCCUAAUAUAUAUGUGAGUAUACAACCUCAGCAGAUAUAUUGCACAGGACUGGUUCUGAUUCUGGAUGGCUGUGUUCCACCUCGGAAGACCCAGUUUAAUAGGAGGUCACAAAGACCUCUACCGUCUACACCCAAAAACACUCGGGGCACCAUCCUCCUGCUAAGUGCAGCACAAAAUGGACACAUGAGUGACCCCAUCCAAACAGAAAUGGACAUAUGGGGUGACUCGACCCAAACGGAAAUGGACACACAAGUGACUCGACCCAAACGGAAAUGGACACACAAGUGACUCGACCCAAACGGAAAUGGACACAGGGGUGACCCAAUUCAAACGGAACUGGACGGAGAAGUGACUCAGUCCAAACGGAAAUGGACACAGGGGUGACUUGAUGCAA